UGAACUAUUAAUGGGCUCAAGAGGAAGCCCAAGGUUGUUAAUUGUUCCAGAAAGGGGAUGUGGAAAGGUUUGAUGAGUAAUUAACCUCGGACACCGCAGGUUUGAUGAGUCUCGAGUUCGAAGCAAACAAAUACAGAAAAUACCAGAGGCUCUACCAGGUUGCUUUUCUUUGAAGUUAAAUGGAAAUGUGAUAUUGGAUUUGAUGUUGACCUGCUGAACUGGUAUGAUUUUGAGUUGUAAGUUUUUGAGUUGUUUUGACACACUGCAGGAUGACUUAUUGAUGCAGGUUGCAGGGUGAUGGUCUGCUGAGUUGCUUAGUUAGAUUGGAUUUGUUAGUGAAGCUAGAAAUGUUAAUUGGUUUGGCUUGAUUAACAGGUUAUUGAGUUAAACCGAAACCUGCUUGUUCGUUGUUUUCCUUUUGCCUCAUUUUAUUCACACUGCAACAAUUGAUUGUUUUGAACUCUUGUUAGCAACAAGUUAAGUUGAUGUUAGUAAAUUGUUAGCAAUGUUAAAGAGUUAGAGUUAGAUUUAGCUGAAGUGUUUUUUGGGAAUCCGUUUGUUAUGAUUUGGGUAGAAUUUAUGUUAUGCUGUUAAUGGAAUUAUGUUGUUAGAAAUUGAUGCAGUUAGCUUUUAUGCAAUGUUGACGGUCAGUUUUGAACAUGAAUUAUGCUAUGGUGAAUAUUAAAGCAAUGUUUGUUAUGGUGUAAUUGAAUUGAAACGAAAUCUGCCAUUUGCUAGGCUGUUAGAGAUGCUUGCAAUGUUAUGUCUUUAACAUGGUAGUUAGUUGCAAUCUGGUUAUUAUGCUAGAGGGUUGUCUUUACCAGCUAAGCUAAUGAAUGAGUUAGUAUGUCAUUGUUGGUGUUAUGAGGUUAUUAGAGUUAGUGUUUUUGUAUUGAAUUUUGAAAGUGAAUUAUGGUUAGUUAAAAAGGAACUGAGUUAAUUAGUUAAUGAACGUUGAUGUUAGUUUUUAUUAAAUGUGUAUGCCUGAAUAUCAUGAUCUGGGACUUGGAUGUGUGCAUGAUGCUAAUCCAUCUUCACUACUGGAGGGCUGGUGUUAGCAAUGGUUAAGAAGGUUUUGGCAUGACAUGUUCAAAGUUUAGGCAUCAAGGGGAAAUGGUAGAAUGCAUCAAGAACCUUUGAAGAACUUGGAUGAGCAAGAAUGAGAGAAACUAUGGGGAUGAGGUCCAAAGUAGACUAGGGUUAGGUCAGUUGACUUUGGUCAAUUGGUUGACCAAAAAGUCAAUAGUUGACCAAAGUCAACUAUAGGUCAAAGUCAUAUAUUAUUUUGUAAUUUUUUGUGUGUUAAUGAUAUAUGUAUGAAUUAAAUGGAUUAUUAAAUGAAAAUGAAUCUUUUUAUCCCAUGCAAAAA